GUUUAUUGGUUUUGUUUACAAGCUUCAACAUCAAUAAAAUCUCCAGCACAUUUACAGCCUGUAUUGUAAACUACACUGAAAACAUACUUUACACACAAUUUUCAGCUCAGUAUUAUAUUAUCCUCUUCAUUCAAGUAAUAUGUAAACUCUUCUCGAAUGUAAAACGAACGACCUACUCUGAACAGUAACCCAAAUAUGGCACUGUGUAUUCAGUUGAAUAGCCAAUCAUUUCAAAUCAAGUUGAGCGGGUUUGCAUCGUAAUUUUGACGAAGUUUGAAACCAGUGGUAAUUUUUUGACACAGCAUCUAGAUUUAAGAAGAUUCUUGCCUGGACAACUGCUCGAACUCCCGGGAUGGCAUGCUCUAAAGGUAUAGUGAAUUCAGUAUGCAGAUUGUUGAAGGGAAAACAUCAAGACGGGGCGAGGAAGACAACAAAACAUGAUUACCCAGAUUGAGGAUCCCAGUGUUCUUUGUCUCAAGCUACUCAGCCUACCAUGAGAAAAUUAAAAGAUCUGUCAUGAAGAAGAGGCGGGUUUUCAACUUACAUAUUAUAAAUGGCAAGUAUUGUUUAGAACUAAUUUUAUAUUAUUCUUGAUAAAAAAUAACAUAAGGGUGUUUGUCAAUUCAUAGCUAUUAUUUGUGAUUGCAUUGUGUAUUAAUUUUCAAAAUCAAUUCAUUCUUUGGUGACCAAGUGCAGCGGUUUUCUUCAAACUCAUAAUUUUUUUAUAAAAAUAUUCACUAUAUUUGUCCAUAUGUAUAAAAUGUUAAUCAUGGUAUGAAUUCUAUUUCAGCAUGAUUGUCAUCUUCAAUUUGAGGGACUCUCACCUAAAGUCCUUUUACUAUUCCAUAUAAGGAAAAAGUUCAUGAGCUGAAACAUACGAUUGGGGAAAAAGCUUAUCAAUUUGGAAGAAAAAACUUAUUUAUAAUUUGAAUAAGGCUUCAUUCACUGGAAUGGAAAACGGAAAUUAUUAGCUUUUGUGGUUAUUAAAGAUGGUAUUUAAUUAAAUUUAAGGUUUGUAAUUAUCAGAUUGUGGUUAUUAAAGAUGGUAUUUAAUUAAAUUUAAGGUCUGUAAUUAUCAGAUUUAAUAUAUCCUAAAUACUGUGUUUAAUGGUUGUAAAUAUUAACUUUACUUUCUUGUAAAGUCAAGAUAAAGUGGGACAUUACAUCAUAUUUAAGUGCAUGUAAAGUUAAUGUAAAGGUUACCUUUUCCAACUUUGACUUUUUUCAGAAAAGCCAAUUAAAGGCAUUGUAAAUAAUAAA